GUGUGUAGCUCAGUUGGAUAGAGCGUUUGGCUACGAACCAAAAGGUCGGGGGUUCGAAUCCCUCCACG
rnacentral:tRNA from 1 species